rnacentral:ncRNA from 1 species
GAACGAUAAUGGCACACUCCGGCGCAAGCCGGAGCUCGCAAAGCCAAGGAGCGGAUUCCGCCAGCCUGGCUACCGAA